rnacentral:rRNA from 1 species
UACGAAGGGGGCUAGCGUUGUUCGGAUUUACUGGGCGUAAAGCGCACGUAGGCGGAUUGUUAAGUCAGGGGUGAAAUCCUGGAGCUCAACUCCAGAACUGCCUUUGAUACUGGCAAUCUAGAGUCCGGAAGAGGUGAGUGGAACUCCUAGUGUAGAGGUGGAAUUCGUAGAUAUUAGGAAGAACACCAGUGGCGAAGGCGGCUCACUGGUCCGGUACUGACGCUGAGGUGCGAAAGCCAGGGGAGCGAACGGG